rnacentral:rRNA from 1 species
UGCAGUCGAGCGGACAGAAGGGAGCUUGCUCCCGGAUGUUAGCGGCGGACGGGUGAGUAACACGUGGGUAACCUGCCUGUAAGACUGGGAUAACUCCGGGAAACCGGAGCUAAUACCGGAUAGUUCCUUGAACCGCAUGGUUCAAGGAUGAAAGACGGUUUCGGCUGUCACUUACAGAUGGACCCGCGGCGCAUUAGCUAGUUGGUGGGGUAAUGGCUCACCAAGGCGACGAUGCGUAGCCGACCUGAGAGGGUGAUCGGCCACACUGGGACUGAGACACGGCCCAGACUCCUACGGGAGGCAGCAGUAGGGAAUCUUCCGCAAUGGACGAAAGUCUGACGGAGCAACGCCGCGUGAGUGAUGAAGGUUUUCGGAUCGUAAAGCUCUGUUGUUAGGGAAGAACAAGUGCGAGAGUAACUGCUCGCACCUUGACGGUACCUAACCAGAAAGCCACGGCUAACUACGUGCCAGCAGCCGCGGUAAUACGUAGGUGGCAAGCGUUGUCCGGAAUUAUUGGGCGUAAAGGGCUCGCAGGCGGUUUCUUAAGUCUGAUGUGAAAGCCCCCGGCUCAACCGGGGAGGGUCAUUGGAAACUGGGAAACUUGAGUGCAGAAGAGGAGAGUGGAAUUCCACGUGUAGCGGUGAAAUGCGUAGAGAUGUGGAGGAACACCAGUGGCGAAGGCGACUCUCUGGUCUGUAACUGACGCUGAGGAGCGAAAGCGUGGGGAGCGAACAGGAUUAGAUACCCUGGUAGUCCACGCCGUAAACGAUGAGUGCUAAGUGUUAGGGGGUUUCCGCCCCUUAGUGCUGCAGCUAACGCAUUAAGCACUCCGCCUGGGGAGUACGGUCGCAAGACUGAAACUCAAAGGAAUUGACGGGGGCCCGCACAAGCGGUGGAGCAUGUGGUUUAAUUCGAAGCAACGCGAAGAACCUUACCAGGUCUUGACAUCCUCUGACAACCCUAGAGAUAGGGCUUUCCCUUCGGGGACAGAGUGACAGGUGGUGCAUGGUUGUCGUCAGCUCGUGUCGUGAGAUGUUGGGUUAAGUCCCGCAACGAGCGCAACCCUUGAUCUUAGUUGCCAGCAUUCAGUUGGGCACUCUAAGGUGACUGCCGGUGACAAACCGGAGGAAGGUGGGGAUGACGUCAAAUCAUCAUGCCCCUUAUGACCUGGGCUACACACGUGCUACAAUGGACAGAACAAAGGGCUGCAAGACCGCAAGGUUUAGCCAAUCCCAUAAAUCUGUU